rnacentral:rRNA from 1 species
GGUGAUCUACCCAUGUCCAGGAUGAAGGUAAGGUAAUACUUACUGGAGGUCCGAACCCACGCACGUUGAAAAGUGCGGGGAUGAGGUGUGGGUAGCGGAGAAAUUCCAAUCGAACUUGGAGAUAGCUGGUUCUCUCCGAAAUAGCUUUAGGGCUAGCCUCGAGGUAAAGAGUCAUGGAGGUAGAGCACUGUUUGGACUAGGGGCCCUUCUCGGGUUACCGAAUUCAGAUAAACUCCGAAUGCCAUGUACUUAUACUCGGGAGUCAGACUGCGAGUGAUAAGAUCCGUAGUCGAAAGGGAAACAGCCCAGACCACCAGUUAAGGUCCCCAAAUAUAUGUUAAGUGGAAAAGGAUGUGGGGUUGCUUAGACAACCAGGAUGUUGGCUUAGAAGCAGCCACCAUUGAAAGAGUGCGUAAUAGCUCACUGGUCGAGUGACCCCGCGCCGAAAAUGUACCGGGGCUAAACAUAUUACCGAAACUGUGGAUGAACCUCUUUAGAGGUUCGUGGUAGGAGAGCGUUCUAAGGGCGGUGAAGUCAGACCGGAAGGACUGGUGGAGCGCUUAGAAGUGAGAAUGCCGGUAUGAGUAGCGAAAGAAGGGUGAGAAUCCCUUCCACCGAAUAUCUAAGGUUUCCUGAGGAAGGCUCGUCCGCUCAGGGUUAGUCGGGACCUAAGCCGAGGCCGAUAGGCGUAGGCGAUGGACAACAGGUAGAGAUUCCUGUACCAGUGCUAAUUGUUUAACCGAUGGGGUGACACAGAAGGAUAGGGAAUCGCACGAAUGGAAAUGUGCGUCCAAGCAGUGAGUGUGAGAAGUAGGCAAAUCCGCUUCUCGCGAAGCAUGAGCUGUGAUGGGGAAGGAAAUUAAGUACGGAAGUUCCUGAUUUCACGCUGUCAAGAAAAGCCUCUAGGAAGAGUAGUACUGCCCGUACCGCAAACCGACACAGGUAGAUGAGGAGAGAAUCCUAAGGUGAGCGAGAGAACUCUCGUUAAGGAACUCGGCAAAAUGACCCCGUAACUUCGGGAGAAGGGGUGCUCUAUUAGGGUGCAAGCCCGAGAGAGCCGCAGUGAAUAGGCCCAGGCGACUGUUUAGCAAAAACACAGGUCUCUGCAAAACCGUAAGGUGACGUAUAGGGGCUGACGCCUGCCCGGUGCUGGAAGGUUAAGAGGAGUGCUUAGCUUCGGCGAAGGUACGAAUUGAAGCCCCAGUAAACGGCGGCCGUAACUAUAACGGUCCUAAGGUAGCGAAAUUCCUUGUCGGGUAAGUUCCGACCCGCACGAAAGGCGCAACGAUCUGGGCACUGUCUCAACGAGAGACUCGGUGAAAUUAUAGUACCUGUGAAGAUGCAGGUUACCCGCGACAGGACGGAAAGACCCCGUGGAGCUUUACUGCAACCUGAUAUGGAAUGUUUGUACCGCUUGUACAGGAUAGGUAGGAGCCGAAGAGACGUGUGCGCUAGCAUACGAGGAGGCAAUGGUGGGAUACUACCCUGGCUGUAUGACCAUUCUAACCCGCCACGCUUAGCGCGUGGGGAGACAGUGUCAGGUGGGCAGUUUGACUGGGGCGGUCGCCUCCUAAAGAGUAACGGAGGCGCCCAAAGGUUCCCUCAGAAUGGAUGGAAAUCAUUCGCAGAGUGUAAAGGCACAAGGGAGCUUGACUGCGAGACUGACAAGUCGAGCAGGGACGAAAGUCGGGCUUAGUGAUCCGGUGGUUCCGCAUGGAAGGGCCAUCGCUCAACGGAUAAAAGCUACCCCGGGGAUAACAGGCUUAUCUCCCCCAAGAGUCCACAUCGACGGGGAGGUUUGGCACCUCGAUGUCGGCUCGUCGCAUCCUGGGGCUGUAGUCGGUCCCAAGGGUUGGGCUGUUCGCCCAUUAAAGCGGCACGCGAGCUGGGUUCAGAACGUCGUGAGACAGUUCGGUCCCUAUCCGUCGCGGGCGCAGGAAAUUUGAGAGGAGCUGUCCUUAGUACGAGAGGACCGGGAUGGACACACCGCUGGUGUACCAGUUGUUCCGCCAGGAGCAUCGCUGGGUAGCUAUGUGUGGCAGGGAUAAACGCUGAAAGCAUCUAAGCGUGAAGCCCCCCUCAAGAUGAGAUUUCCCAUUUCUUCGGAAAGUAAGAUCCCUGAAAGAUGAUCAGGUAGAUAGGUUUGGAGUGGAAGUGUAGCGAUACAUGGAGCGGACAAAUACUAAUCGAUCGAGGACUUAAC